rnacentral:ncRNA from 1 species
CGCAUUUUUUUUUUCGGGCUGACAGUAGGAAUCGCGACUGUGAGUGGCUGAUCGAUGUGAUGGUGGGCCUGGGGGUUCGGAAAAGUGGUGGAAAAGGUAGAAAGUGGUGGAAAAUUUUUUUUCGGGCUGGCAGUGGGAAUCGCGACUGUGAGGUGGUGGGCCUGGGGGUUCGGAAAAGUGGCGGAAAAGGUAGAAAGUGGUGGACUUCGGUUCUUUUUGUUGGUUCUAGAAUUGAUCUAAUGGUUAAGAGGGACAAACCGGGGGCAUUCGUAUCAUUACGCGAGAGGUGAAAUUCGUGGACCGUAGUGAGACGCCCAAUAGCGAAAGCAUUUGCCAAGAAUGUCUUCAUUAAUCAAGAACGAAAGUCAGAGGUUCGAAGGCGAUUAGAUACCGCCCUAGUUCUGACCGUAAACGAUGCCAUCUCGCGAUUCGGAGGGUUCAUGCCCUACCGAGGAGCUACCCGGAAACGAAAGUCUUUCGGUUCCGGGGGUAGUAUGGUUGCAAAGCUGAAACUUAAAGAAAUUGACGGAAGGGCACCACAAGGCGUGGAGCUUGCGGCUUAAUUUGACUCAACACGGGAAAACUCACCCGGUCCGGACACUAUUAGGACUGACAGAUUGAAAGCCUCUUUCUCGAUUUGGUGGUUGGUGGUGCAUGGCCCGUUC